rnacentral:rRNA from 1 species
GACGAACGCUGGCGGCGUGCUUAACACAUGCAAGUCGAACGGAAAGGCCCUGCUUUUGUGGGGUGCUCGAGUGGCGAACGGGUGCGUAACACGUGAGUAACCUGCCCUUGACUUUGGGAUAACUUCAGGAAACUGGGGCUAAGACCGGAUAGGAGACCCUGCUGGAUGGUGGGGGGUGGAUAGUUUCGGCGGUCGGGGAUGGACUCGCGGCUUAUCAGUUUGCUGGUGGGGGAGUGGCUUACCAAGGCUUUGACGGGUAGCCGGCCUGAGAGGGUGACCGGCCACAUUGGGACUGAGAUACGGCCCAGACUCCUACGGGAGGCAGCAGUGGGGAAUAUUGCACAAUGGGCGGAAGCCUGAUGCAGCAACGCCGCGUGCGGGAUGACGGCCUUCGGGUUGUAAACCGCUUUCGCCUGUGACGAAGCGUGAGUGACGGUAAUGGGUAAAGAAGCACCGGCUAACUACGUG